AUUGAACGCUGGCGGAAUGCUUUACACAUGCAAGUCGAACGGUAGCACGGGGGCAACCCUGGUGGCGAGUGGCGAACGGGUGAGUAAUACAUCGGAACGUGCCCGGUCGUGGGGGAUAACGUAGCGAAAGUUACGCUAAUACCGCAUACGAUCUGAGGAUGAAAGCGGGGGACCUUCGGGCCUCGCGCGAUCGGAGCGGCCGAUGUCAGAUUAGGUAGUUGGUGGGGUAAAGGCCUACCAAGCCGACGAUCUGUAGCUGGUCUGAGAGGACGACCAGCCACACUGGGACUGAGACACGGCCCAGACUCCUACGGGAGGCAGCAGUGGGGAAUUUUGGACAAUGGGCGCAAGCCUGAUCCAGCCAUUCCGCGUGCAGGACGAAGGCCUUCGGGUUGUAAACUGCUUUUGUAUGGAACGAAAAGGCUCUGGCUAAUACCUGGGGCUCAUGACGGUACCGUAAGAAUAAGCACCGGCUAACUACGUG
rnacentral:rRNA from 1 species